CUCUGAUGUGAUCAGUGUUGGCUUAUUUAUCGGUGAAGCAGCAGAACAUUUUCCACAGAUAGUUUUUCUGCCUGUUGGUUUGUUUUAACCAGUUUUCUACCUUCGGCUGAUUCUACCAGCAGACACUGAAAGGACUCUUAUAGUUCGAUUGGAGAAUAGGACAGAACGACCAUGUGUGCCGUGCUCUGACUCCAUAACAUCACGUAUCGCCAGGGGGCAGAGGCUGGUGAUGUAAGUGCUUAUGCAACAUCACUGGUCUUGAACAUUCAAGUGAGGGAAGCGACGCUCCAACGCAGCUGGAUGAUAUUCACAAAAAUUCUCCCAUCGAUCCAUAGAUCAGCCCCGCCAUCGCACCGCAUCUUCCUCCUCCUCCUCCUCCUCCUCCUCCUCCUCCUUGAUGCCUGACUUGUGUGGUUUCGUGGCCUGACUGAGGACUCGUUUAACUGCAUUGCCUCUGCGUCUCCUGUCUGUUGGCUCCUCAUCCUCCUCCUGCUGCUGGCAGCCACAGUGUUGUGAGAGAAAGUCCCUUUAUUUGUUCCUGGGGG
ensembl:lncRNA